rnacentral:rRNA from 1 species
GACAGAGGGUGCAAACGUUGCUCGGAAUUACUGGGCGUAAAGCGCGUGUAGGUGGAUUGGUGUGUCAGAUGUGAAAGCCCUGGGCUCAACCCAGGAACUGCACCUGAAACUACCAGUCUUGAGUGGUGGAGAGGGAAGUGGAAUUCCUGGUGUAGAGGUGAAAUUCGUAGAUAUCAGGAGGAACACCAGUGGCGAAGGCGGCUUCCUGGACACUAACUGACGCUGAGACGCGAAAGCGUGGGGAGCGAACAGG